GAUGAACGCUGGCGGCGUGCCUAAUACAUGCAAGUCGAGCGAACAGACGAGGAGCUUGCUCCUCUGACGUUAGCGGCGGACGGGUGAGUAACACGUGGAUAACCUACCUAUAAGACUGGGAUAACUUCGGGAAACCGGAGCUAAUACCGGAUAAUAUAUUGAACCGCAUGGUUCAAUAGUGAAAGACGGUUUUGCUGUCACUUAUAGAUGGAUCCGCGCCGCAUUAGCUAGUUGGUAAAGUAACGGCUUACCAAGGCAACGAUGCGUAGCCGACCUGAGAGGGUGAUCGGCCACACUGGAACUGAGACACGGUCCAGACUCCUACGGGAGGCAGCAGUAGGGAAUCUUCCGCAAUGGGCGAAAGCCUGACGGAGCAACGCCGCGUGAGUGAUGAAGGUCUUCGGAUCGUAAAGCUCUGUUAUUAGGGAAGAACAAAUGUGUAAGUAACUAUGCACGUCUUGACGGUACCUAAUCAGAAAGCCACGGCUAACUACGUG
rnacentral:rRNA from 1 species